rnacentral:lncRNA from 1 species
UAGGCUGAGGAGCAAAAGGAGGAAUCUGCCCGAGGAGGGGCUCGCGUCUGAUUAGCUAGUUGGUGAGGCAAUAGCUUACCAAGGCGAUGAUCAGUAGCUGGUCCGAGAGGAUGAUCAGCCACAUUGGGACUGAGACAUGGCCCAAACUCCUACGGGAGGCAGCAGUGGAGAAUUUUUCGCAAUGGGCGAAAACCUGACGGAGCAAUGCCGCGUGAAAGUAGAAGGCCCACGGGUCGUGAACUUCUUUUUCCGGAGAAGAAGCAAUGACGGUAUCUGGGGAAUAAGCAUCGGCUAACUUUGUGCCAGCAGCCGCGGUAAUACAGAGGAUGCAAGCGUUAUCCGGAAUGAUUGGGCGUAAAGCGUCUGUAGGUGACUUUUUAAGUCCGCCAUCAAAUCCCAGGGCUCAACCUUGGACAGGCGGUAGAAACUACCAAGCUGGAGUACGGUAGGGGCACAGGGAAUUUCCGAUGGAGCGGUGAAAUACGUAGAGAUCGGAAAGAACACCAACGGCGAAAGCACUCUACUGGGCCGACACUGACACUGAGAGACGAAAACUAGGGGAGCGAAUUGGAUUAGAUACCCCAGUAGUCCUAGCCGUAAGCGAUGGAUACUAGGCGAUGUGUGUAUCGACCCGUGCAGUGCUGUAGUUAACGCGUUAAGUAUCCUGCCUGGGGAGUACGUUCGCAAGAAUGAAACUCAAAGGAAUUAACGGGGGCCCGCACAAGCGGUGGAGCAUGUGGUUUAAUUCGAUGCAAAGCAAAG